UCUCGAUUGGUCUAGUGGUGAGGAUACCUGCUUGUCAUUCUACAAUUCGCAGGUGGCCGGGGUUCGAUUCCCCGAUCGAGAG